GAUUCUAGGUCCACAUUUGUGAGCAAGUGUAAGUGUAGUGUGCAUCAGGAUUUUGUGGCUCUUGGCCUGGGCAAGUCACUGGCAAAAUGGAUCAAAACUAUGCUCUUGUGAAAGAAAUCGUCAAAUGUUAGUAUUCCUAAAGAAAGGACAACUGGUCCAUAGAUCAGUGGUAAGAGUAUUUGCCUGGAGAUUACUGGUCUUAGGUUCGAACCCUAACGCACCUACUCGCUCCCUUCCAAAAUUUGACAAGAAAAAAAAUAUUCCUAAAAGAUGACAAAAAAUUUUGAAUAAGAAGGUGGUGGUUGCUACCAUGGCAUGUAGCCGAAGCUGAAUUUUCUUAAGAUCCACAUGUGGCUUUUCAUUUUAAAUAAAUUUUCGGUUUUACUCAUAUACUUAACUAAUUAAUCAAUGAAUGGCAGCUCGUUGGUGAUUUGGUGUGGCUUGGGGUGAUAGUGAUGGGGUUGGGUUUAGUGGCGGACGUGUGUAGGCGCAUUGCGGAAAACUCCAUUAUAGCUGCUGGAGUUGCACCUCUGCUUCAGACUAGAGACGCACACAACCUGCUCGACGAAAUGCACAAACCAAACUGGAGCUGCAUUGCUGCUGCUAUGCGCGCGUUUUGUUUUUUUGAAAACAAAGCCUAGCCAAAACGACGUUGUUUUGGGCCAGGCUUUAAAAAAGGCGCUGCUUUUUCUUUUUCUUUUUUUUUUAAUUAAAUUUUUUUUUAACCUAGCCAAAACGACGUCGUUUUGGACCAGGGUUUUUUAAAACAAAAACAAAAGGGAAAGAAAGGGAAAUUGUUGGGCCAUUUCGUGGGCUUUCAAAGGGCUUCUAUAAUUCCUUACUUAAUUGAGUUUUAAUUGGGAGUUCUCUUUAUUCAAUUGAAAAUCUCAAAAAAAAAAAUAAUAAAAAAAACUUAUGGCUUCGCCCAGGCUCGAACUGGGGACCUUCAGUGUGUUAGACUGACGUGAUAACCAACUACACCACGAAACCUUGUUGUUAUGUCCCCUCAAUGUUUGGAGUUUAAUACUAAACAUGGUUUUGGGAAUUCCUUAUUUAAGUGGGAUUGUGAAUUCUCUUUAUAAAGGACCAAUUUAACAUUACCUAAUUUCAUCAAAGUGUGUGCAUCACAAGUAUUGUAGGUUAAUUGUAAUGUUAUUUUUUAAUUAAUUAUAAAUAACAUUAGUAUUGUUUAAAUUAUAAAGAUGUUUAGUUGUCUUUUUUGUUUUGAGCUCUUAACUUUUAAAAAUUGCACUUUCGCUAAAAAAUUUCUAGGUCCGCCACUGGUUGGGUCUAGUUGGGUGUGGCUAGGCCACAUGGGUUUUGGACGAUGGGGGGGGGGGGGGGGGGUGUUGGGGUUGUGUUUCUAGGGAGGUGGGAAAAAGAUGGAGUCAAAGUGGGGCAUGUGGUGGAGUUGAGUUGAGAUGUGAUGGAUGAGAGAGAACAAUUUAAAAAUAAUAUUUUUAAUUGUUAAAUUAUUUUUUUAAAAGAAAUACAUUAUUAUUAUCUUUAUACACAAAGCCCAAUAGGAAAAUUAAAUGUUAAAUUGCUAUAAUUAAAUUGAAAAAUUUACACGAAAUAAAACAGAAAUCUAAUAAAAAGAAUUGGGUUUUAGAAUAACCGUAAUUGAAUCGAGGCAAGUGUUGGACACUCUAGCCUUAAGACGAAUUACAUCCCACAAAUAUGCUUAUGGUUACUAGCGCUCACCUCCCAACAUACAACAACUCAUAUUCUUGUGAAAGAAGCACAACAAUUCACAAGGACUCGUGAACCAGAUUAUUCCGAAAAGUCUCUCACAUAAUGCAGGGAAAAGACUUCUAAAACUUUGCAUUUAAGUGUGGAUGUAGAUAAUGAAUUGAAUGAUUUGAUAGCAAACGGAUUGCUCUUAGUAGAAUGAUGAAGAGUUUUGGCAACCAAAAAAAAAAAAAGAAAAAAAAGAAUGAUGAAGAGCCCUUCCAAAGGAUUGUGUCCCAAUCUAAAAAGGCAACCAAUGCAUCCCUUGGAUAAAAAUGUGUAUUGAUAACUCUUUUGAAAAAUAAUAAAUGACACCAUUGUCCAUUUAUCUAUGAUAUAGCGAAAAUUCUAAUAUACUUUGAAGUAUCGAUAUACAUCGAAUCCUUCAACGGUUAAAUUUUAAUUUUUUAAUCUUACGGUUGAGAAUCAAUGACCUGGAAACCUGUUAAGGUUGUUCUGAAUAUUGAUCACAUGAGAGAGAGGCAGGUCUAGGGGAAAAAAAAAAACCAGGCGCGCAACGUCUCCUCCUUCGUCUGAAGACAGUCACAUGCCCACGCCAUACCCAACGACUGUGGGUCUUCCGCAUCUCACUUUCUCGAUGGCGUGAGGAGGACCUAGUUUGAGGCACGCAAGAAUUAGAGAUCUCCUCCUUCGUCUGAAUUCAUUCAUGUUGUCAACGCCGUACCCAGCGAUGGUGGAUUUUCCUCAUCUCUCUUUCUCGUGAGGACAACCUAGUUUGAGGCCGUGUGCUUACUAUUUUGGUCCUAAUCUUCUUUGCGAGUUAGAUGACAUAUGGUCUAGAGAUUUUCUGAUUGGUUGCCUAAGGUAGAAGUGGUUGAACGACGACAUGCUGAGUUUGAAGGAUAGAGGCAUCAAACCAUUCAGAAGUAAGAGGUAAGAAUUGUAAGUGGGUUUUGGAGUUGUAUGCAUAUCGUGUUAUGAGUUAUGCAAUUGCAUUCAAUCGAAAAAUCGUUGGGUCAAAAUAGGCAGUGUAAUGGGUUUAAUUGGAAGCAAUUGAGGAAAGAAGAUGUUAUAGGGUUGGAGUUUAAAAUGUUAGAGCUAGCAUAUGAAUAUUACUUAAGCUAUGCAAAGGCUAUUGGAUUUAACGUAAGAAAAGAUAGAUUGAUUUAUAAUAAGGAAGGGAAAUUAACAAGGAGACGGUGGUGUUGCUCAAAGGCAGAUGUGAGAGAAGAAAAGUACAAUGACCUACUAAAUAGGGUGCGAUCACCUAGGCGGUUGACAAGAGAGAAUUGUUUAGCUUUUUUGGUGGUAAAUUAUGAAAAGAAAUGUGAAAUUUACGUCAUAAAUAACUAUGAAUCAGAUCAUAGUCAUGAAUUAGUGAGCCAUGUGAAUCACCUUAUCUCUUACCGAACCGAGUAGUUUCGACUUCACAUUUAGCCCAAGAAAUGGCAAAGCAUAGAGUUUUGGUAAGGGUAUGUCGUACUUACGAGUAUAUGGUGAAACAAUUAGGUGGGUAUUUGAACGUGGGAUUUCAAAUCAAGGAUCUAUAUAAUAAGUUGGAUGCAUCACGUAAGGAAAUCUGGUUGGACGAUGACACAAAAGCUGCACUCACCUACUUAAAAGAGAAAGGAUCAGUGGAUCUUGAAUUCUUAUGUAAAUUCAGUGGAAAUGAGGAGAAUAGACUUGCUAACUUGUUUUGGAAAGACUACUUCAUUUUUGGAUUAUGUUGCCUUUGGAGACGUCCUCAUAUUCAACAGCACGUAUAAAACCAAUAUGUACGAUAAGUCUCUAGUGUUGUUUGUUGGUUCGAACAACUACCCGACAAUUCUAAUAUUUGCUUGUGUCCGAUUGCUUGAUGAUACCUUCGAAACGUAUAAGUGGUUGUUGAAGACAUUCAUAUCCUCCAUAAAAUGCAGGAAGACUAUAUCAACACUGACUAAUGGGGAUAAGGUGAUGCGCAAAGCAAUUGAGUAUGUAUUACCCAUGUGCAAUCAGAGGUUGUGCUCAUGGCACGUGACAAGGAAUGCACAUAAUAACUUAAAGGAUGAAGAAUUAGUACGAGCAUUUCAAGCAUGUCUUUGGGUACCAAUUACAUUCAAUGAGUUUGAAAAUAAAUGAGAGUUUUUGACGGAAAAAGUUACUACACCAAAACAAAAGGAAUGGUUGGAAAUGAUGUAUGCAAAAUGAGAUGUGUGGGUGGAAUCACGGCUUAGACCCAAGUUUUUCAGUGGUAUGUGCACCACUCAACCCGUGGAGUAUAUGAACAAGUUUGUGAAGGAUUACUUGAGGAAGGACAUUAAGUUGUUUGAAUGCAUUCUGGUAAUUGAUAAGGGCACGUCGCGUAUGAGGAAUCCUACGACAAAGGAUGAUUUCAAUGCAAAACAGUAAAAGGAAGGGCUUGUAAUUUGAGAAACCCUUCCUUUUAUUGCAGCUUAUAUCCGGUGAUAACAACACUGAAAAAUCUUGAGCAACAUGCUUUUGAAAUUUACACCCAUAGGUGAUUUUUUUUGUUUUUAUACGUAACGAGAUCAAUGCUUCUUCAAUGCUCAUUCAUGAAAAAAUAAUUCAUAAUUUUAGAGGACGGUUGUACAUUUUAAUGAAAUACGGUGAACCAUAAUAUAAUUGGAGUUGUGUGUACCAUAGUGGGGAAGAUAUUCAAAUAUAGUGCAACGGCCACAAAUAAGAAAGAGAAGGCAUCCCAUGUUGCCAUUUGUUUUAUGUGAUGAAGUGGGAGCAUGUUAUGGAAAUUGCCCCAUCACUUAUAAUGAAGCGAUGGACAAAGAGUGCCCGAAUAGACAUUGAAUAUGCAUUUAUGUUAGAAAUUGGUAGCAAGGAAGUUGUAGAAACCGCGAGAUAUGGAAGUUUAAGUUGUAUGGAUAACAAAGUGUGUUUGUAUGCAUCGAAGAGUACAGAUGGGUAUGAGCUUUUUAAGAAUAAACUCAGGUGAUUGGAGGGAAUAGUUGAAGGAUUAUGACAGAAAGAAGAAGAGAUGAGUCUUAAAUUGGGUAGUCGUGGGCAAUUUCCUGCAAACAUUGUGAAAGAUGGAACCGUAGCGAGGACAAAAGGCACCCAAGGAUGAGUCAAUGUAACACGCAAGUAAUGACAAUGCAUGCCUUCUGGUUGUCAAAGCUCUCAAUAUAGUAACAAGAUUGGGCAAUCACCGGAUAUAAGCUACAAUUAUGCUAGUCAAACAGUUUCUCUAUCAACAUCUAACUACUUUGGUGAUUUUACUAGAAAUGAUGUCGAAUCCACUAUAAACCCAAGUGGCUCUAGUUGCAACAGUGAUCUCUUUCGGCACUCAAAUCAAUACAAUUGUCUAGUGAUUGAAUCUAUACCAGUCCAAGUUAUGGGUCAUUGUUUGCAUGGAAAAGUCAACAUUCGAGGUAAAUGAUGCAUUGAUGGUGUAUAAUUUUAGAUCUCAAUCUAUUUUGUUUUAGACUUUGUAUUAACAUUUUAAAAGUAACGAGUAUUUGCAAUUGUAUGAAGAAUAAAUUUUUACCUAAUUAUAGUGUGGAAGUAUGUAAAUUGAUUUGUCUCGAAGUAUUUACAUGCCUAAUUAUGCACCGAUUCGUUUGUCUGCCUCUUAGCUCUUGAGGAAGGAACCGAUUCGUUUGUCUUGCCUUUUCGUUGCUUAAGAGUAGACUCCUCCUUUGUCUCUGUGUCUGUCCCAUCCUCAUCGCUGUCCUCUCCAAGUUCAGAAAGCUAAUCAUCCUCCUCAUUGUUGUCUUCUCCCUCUGCUUCUUCUUCUCCAUCUUCACAUCAUCUCCCUCAUAUCCUCUUCUUCUUGCUCGUCAUCUUCUUUGUCUUCCUCUUCGCCAUCUUCAUGUUUGAGCAUUGGUGCCUUUCCCUUUCCAAGUGGGUCAUGUUUCUUUUUGGAUUGUUGCUCCUACAUAUAAUUUAACAACGAACAUGAAUAACCUUUAACAACCACUUAACAUGAACAUAUAAUGAUAACAGUCCUGAUCUUUUGGACCACAGGAGUCCAAGAGAUUGUGGUAACUCACCGUUGGAUAUUAAUCUAAUGGUUCAAAAAAGUUUCUUAAAAGGAGUUCAAGAUUGAGUGAACCGUUGAAUUUACAUCCAACGGUGAGUGACCACAAAUCUCUUGGACUCCUGUGGUCCAAGAGAUCGGGACUGAUAAUGAUAAAUUAUAUACUAAAAUUGCGUUUAUUGUAAUCGCCGUCAUCACACCUCUAUAUACAAAUCCCUCAUGAAAAUGUUAUGUUGCUUUCAAUGUUUCCUAUUACAAAAGAACAAGAUAAAUAUUUGUGAUUGGGACACAAUAUUCCAAUAAUACUGUUAUGGAAUGCAAUAUAAAAACAAAAACUCAUUCUCCUUUUGGAGUCGUGUAAUUUCAUUUGAUGCUUGCAAACAUGUUGAAAAAAGCAGAGCAUUCAAUUUAGCAAUGAGCUGCAGUAGGUGGGUAGCAUCUUACGCGGUCACCUACAAUGCCCACAUAAUUCAGAGUUUGAAACAAAAAUAAACUAUGAUUAAAAUCAUCGUAUAUUGUAAAUUAAACUACUUACGUGCAUCACUUUCUUGGUUAACGAUACGUCAGGGUUCUCUUGUCCCUUAGGAAUCCGUACUAACUUGCUUUCAUUGGCGUUCAUGAAGCUUGGUAUCCUCAUUGACCAAGCUUGAGGAGGAAUGGUUCAAACCGUCAGACCUUGCUCAUUUUCCUGAGAGAUUGAGAGAAAUUGUUUGAAUAAAGUUGAAGUACAAAAGAUUGACUACACAUGUGACAAUGUGAAAGGGUCAGUGUGUGGCUUCAACCUAAUUUUCAAUGGAGAAGCCAUUCAGUGCCUCGUGAUCCUCGUCUUCAACGGUAAACUCAUAAUCACGAAGCAUGGUCCUUGGUGGAAGCUUGGGGACAUGGGGUUUGUUCGUCUACAAGCUCUUACAGGUGACUUGCUUCCCUAAGUACCAAGCCUAUCCAACUGGUCCUUGAACCAACAUUCAUUGGCAUGUGAUAGUCACACUAUCUUCGAAGCAAUCAAGGAGCUUUGAUUCAUCCGUUCCCUAUGGAUGCCAGACAACUUGCGUGUUACAAUCCCAAUUAGCAUUGGUAAUAACCAUUAGCUGAGCAAAAAAAGAAACAUGCAAGACAAAAAUGCCACCCAUAUGGUCAUUUGUCAAAUGUCGCAUAAUGACUCGAAAUUCUUCCAAAUUAUGUUGUGCCAUGCUUUAAGGUUGAGCCUAACCACCUCAAUGCCUGGGGCCAUGUAUUAGCAUUGCCAUUGGGCCGCUUAAGUGUAAAGGGCUUGAGGUAUUCUCAUGCCCAUACCUUCAAAGAAAUAAAAAGUCAAUUUUCAUUAAGUUUUAAACAAAUAAAAUGAUUGGAAAAACUAUGGCCGUAACAAUGCUCUCGUUUUUACCCUUUUUACAGGAAUGCCAAUCCCGCACCCCACAUUGUAAUUCUUAAUUUUAUUGACUAUUUUAAGAGAUGACAUGUAGUGCAGAAUCUUAAGCCAAUAAGCAAAGUAUAAAAACCAUUGUUAUUUGGUCAACUUCAUUUUCACUUGCAGAUUCCUUGUAGAUAGAUCAUCAUACCUAAUCCUCUUCAUAUAAAUCCUAUGAGAAACUUGUUUCCCAAAUAGUUUCUCUAAUUGCUUUCUCUUUUGUUGCACAUUUAUGUUAUAUUUCAAGGGGUUGUUGGACACGCGAAGCCCAAUGAUGGCGUUGAAGUCCAUUGGAGUUAUCAUCAUCUCCUCGAUCUCAUCAUAAUGGAACGUAUGAGUAGUGUCCCAUCAUCGCUCAGCUAAAGAAACAAACAACAACCUAUAUAGCCUCUUCCUCUUCCCCUAUAAAUACCACAUAAUAUUUGAAAAAUAGAUCAUAGUGUUUAUAGAAAUUUUAGGUACUUUGUCUAAAAAAUUGUUCUCUAAAUUUACAUGCAAUUCCAGUGAAUUCGGAUUCCAUUGCAAUGGUGUGUAUACUCGCACACCAUAUAGCUUAUUUUUCAGUGUGCCAUGUGAUACAAAUGAUGACUUUGGCUCUUGUUUCUUGGAGGUGGUGGCUUUUCCUCAGGAUUUGGAAGUUGUAGCCAUUUUCUUCCUCAUGUUGGUGUUGCUGAAUCAAUAAAUGCAAUGCUUAGGAGGCUGGUUCAAAUGCACCUUUGUAUGUAUGACCUUUAUUUAUUUAUUUAUUUGUGUACCAAUAUAAAAUCCAUGUUUCGAAUCAACUAUCCGAUCUCAUCCCUCACCGCAUCAUUAGACUUGGCGAGUUUGCACCAUUUCAUCAUGGUCAUACGUGUAUGCAUUAUAACAAUAAUGAACCAUCCCAAAAGCUAAAUAUUAUCCUAUCCUCUUGUUGAAUUAAAGAGUCUUAUACUUUCUAGAGUUAAGGUUUCGCUCUCAUCCACCUUUUUCUUCCUUGAAUAUCUAUAUGAAAUAGAAUAUGCAAUAUCAGAAGCCUGCCAAAAAUGGCCAAUCAAAUGAGACAACAUAACCCUCCUCAUACCUAGUUAUUGUUCUGUACAUAUGAAUUGGUUAUGAUUUAUUAAGUAUGCCAUUGCAACAACAAUGAGUGGCCAUGGAUAAAUUUAUGGUUGCCUAGAUAAAUGUAAAAUGAGUUUAUAACAUAUGCAUCAUUUGGCUAGAAGAUCCAAGUUAUUUUAUUUGUAACAGUAGCUCGAUUUUCUAGUUACAUCUCAAGAAUAAUAAUAAAGUAAUCCAUUUUUUUUGUGCGAAAAAGAGGAACUAACAAUGGCGAGACCUUCUAAGGCAUGCAGGCCCAAAAAGGUCUAGAUAAAAAAGUGAAACAACUAAGAGGGGAAGACAAUCUUCCCAUAGCUUCGAAGGCGAGAAGAAAUGCCCAAGCGACUAAGGCAUCAACACCCACAUUGGCUUCGCAUAAACAACUAGUUGCAAAGGGCAUAAUGUCUUGGACAAGUUGAACGAUGCACCAAGGGAUGGAGCAACAUUGCAGGACUGAGUCAAUGACAAGCUUAGAAUCCUGUUCAAACAAAAUCUUACGCCAAACAUAGAAAUAGCAUAAGCCAACCCAUCUCUAAGAGCUAAACAUUCCGCAGAUAUAAUAGAGACAUCACCAAUCUUCUUAGCUCCAACCAAAGUAACAUACUAAUAUACACAUCAUAAUCUCUAAUUACAAAGUCAAUUGCAGCUUGAUGCUGCUUAAUAAAGCCAUCAAAGUUGAUCUUACACCAUCCAGGUGGGGGAGCUUGUCAUUUGAUAGGAGGAAUAAUAGGUUUCACAAUCUUGGGUUGCUAUAAGCCUCCCAGUAGUCCAUCUGGAUAGACCCAACCACAUUGAAAACUUUGCAGUUCAAAAGGGUGAAAGAAAACACUGGCUUUCAAGUCUUUCGCAUGCUAAUAAGUUAUCGCAGCAUUAUACAUCAUUUGAUGAAAAAUAAAUCAAUAUAUCACUACAUCACAUAAAUUGGCUUAACGAAACAAAUAGAAAUAUAAAAUAAAAAUAUGUGAAGAAACAUAGAUUUUAAAUAGUUAUAAUCAACUUGCGAGCGACAUUUGAUAAUAUUCAUCAUUAAGAAAUCUGGAGGAUCUGAUUUGGUAUACAAUAACAAAAAUAAGCACAUAUGCAUCACCACUCAGUAAAAUUUCAUAGCACAAAAACAAAGACAAAACACACACUAGUUAACCACUCAGUAAAUUUACUCUCCGUAAAUUUCUUAGCCUUAAUAAACCAUAAACCCAUCUUACUCCACAAUCACAGCUCAAGUGCAGCUUCAUCUCCAGUAAGCACACCUGUAGGUUGUCCAACUCUGACGGUUUUAUCUCUAGCAAGUUCAGCAGGCCUUCCAGCACUGGCUCCAACUACUCAUCCAGCACUUGCUUCAACAUCAACAUUCUAUCUUGCAUCGGCUUUAACGCUUUCUCUAGUACCUGCUUCAAUGUCAAAAUUAUGUCCUGCAUUGGCUUCAAUGCCAUCUCCAACAACCCCUCCAUUUCCCUCAACAGCUUGGUCAAUGUAUCUUCUUCACAACAAGGCCAUAAUAGCAGGAACACAACACAAGCAUAGCAUAAUCAAUCAUAUAUUUAAGCGGAGGAACGUAGUCAGUAUGCACCAAUAUCCAAUCAACAGACAGAGAAGGAGAAAGUAGAUAAAUUUUCUUACCAGAUACUGUCCAUCCAGAAAUUUGAUAACUAACAGACAUGUCACCAAUGCUUCAGACAUAAUCAACUCCCACACAUUAUCCUACAGCUGCAUACUUUAUGUUUCUCUUUGAAGCACUUGCAGUAUUCCGCCGGUGGAUUUACUCCCAAACCAAACACUAAAGCAACCACAAAUGUGGUCACUGUUAAUAAGGUAUUUGUCUUGGACAGAAUAUGUUCCCCAUCGGUCUAUCGGAAAAGAGUGAUAUUUGAAACCCUUAAUGGAGUUAGGGCUUGAAUAAUACUAGAACCAAAUGAAGGUUGAUGAGGUUCAGCCAUGAGAGAAAAAAAAAGAAAGAGGCUGAUUUUUUGAGAGAGAGAGAGAGAGAGAGAGAGAGAGAGAGUCAACAGUUGAGUGGCCAACGAUGAAAAACAAAAUGGAUGAUUUUACCUCUCAGUUUUAGUAUUUCUUAGCACACAAAUGACCUAUGCUCAAAAGAUCUCCAAAAUCCAAAAUCUUUAAGGCUGCAACAACUCUUUUGUAAACCUAAAGCCUUUUUGUUUUGUUUCCAUUAUUUGGAAGAUUGAAUCUGUAGGGAGAGAGAAAGGGAUGGAGGUGAUAGAGACUGGUUAUGUGCUGGGAUUUUGGGAUAGUGAAUGAGGGAAAGGAUUUUAAUAUUUUGGUUUUGGGGUUGGUUGAGGUUGCAAGUGGAACAUUGAUGGGUGGUUUUUAUUUAUAUAUUUUUGAAUUUUUUUGUUUUUGUAAGGAAUGGCUGCUGGAGAUCCUUCUUUAUUUUUGUAAGUUAUAAUUUAUUUAUUUUAAUUUAUAUAUAAUUUUAAACAUUUUAAACAAUAGCAAUAUUUUAAAAAUAUUUUCUAUAUAUAUUUUUUAUUUAAUUUAAAGGAGGAGGAAGCGUCACUGCCCUUCUUUCCUCCUCUCUUCUCAUAUUUUCUUUUUAGGUUAGUGAAUAAGUCCACUGGGAUGUUUUGAAAAAAAGCCACUUGUGGUGGUUUCUUUUGAGCCAUGGUUAGAUUGAAGUUCCCCAUCACCUAUUUUAGUCUAUGUUCUCAAUCAAAUCCUGCUCUCAAAACCCGCUCCCUAACAAAUUCUUUAAAUUUGAUUCUACAUUGUCUUUGAUAGAGGUAGAUCAUUGAAAAUCAUAUUUUUUCCAGAUCUGUUACAGAUGUGGUGUUGGGUGUGGCCGCAACGGUUCUUCUUCAGGUAGUGGUGGUAGGGUUCGUUUAGGCUCAUGGGUUGUUUUAGGGUUUUAUUUAUGUUGGGUUUGUGGGCUUUGUUUGGGCUUUUGGUUAAUUGUGGUGAUGUGUGCUAGUAGUUUUAGUUCGGCUUUUGUCCGCGUUAGUUGUGUUUUUAGUAUAUUAGUUUGUUGUCCUCUUAGGAUUGGUAUGUUAGAUGUCUUGUUGAUGUCUUUGAUUGUACCGUUGAAGUUUAUCUAAUGAAGUUUCAAUUUGAUAAAAAAAAAAUUAAUAAUAAAAUAAAAUUUAGGGCAUUGGUAUAAUUAAUUUGGGAAGUAGAGGGGUUUUAUGGUAUAUAGAAAAGGAUGACGGUUCUCACCUUUUCUUGCCCAUUCACAAACUCUUCAAAUAAGACUGACAUCCUCGUGUCAGAGGUGGCAGUAAAUCGAAAACGAAAGGAGGUAGUGCGAUUGGUGUAGAGAACUUUUGCAUAAGUUUAAGGUAUAAAUUCGCUUCUUAAAAGUAAAACUACACCAGGUUGUCACGUGAUAUACAUACAUAUAAGAAGAAGGGAGAAAAAGUAUACCUUGAUUAAUUUUUGUUUUAUUUAUUCUUAUUAUUAAGAUUUUUGUUUUAUUAAUCCUUGGUGUCCACCCAAGGCUUCACUCGGACAUGGCCCCACCCUUUUCAUGUCUCCUAGUUGCCUGCAAGUGGUAUUUGUUCACGCAAACGCAAGGGUUGCGUUCGUUGAGUAAAGUUUCCCAUUCCCCAGAAAAAUGGCCUCAAUUUACUUACUUUUUCAAACAAACAGACUACUUGUUCAUGCAAACGCAAAGGGUUGCGUUUGUUGGGUAAAGUUACACGUUCCCUAGAAAAAUGGACCCAACCAACUUAUUUUUUGAAACAAGCGGGGUAUUUGUUCACGUGAACGCAUGGGUUGCAUUCGUUGUAAUGUUGCCCAUUCCCCGGAAAAAUGGGUCCAACAAACUUACUUUUUGAAACAAACGGUGUAUUUGUUCACGCGAACGUAGGGGUUGCCUUCGUUAAGUAAAGUUGCCCGUUCCUCAGAAAUAUGGGCCCAACCAACUUUCAUUUCCAAACAAACGGGGUAUUUGUUCACACAAACGCAAGUGUUGCGUUCAUUGAGUAAAGUUGCCCGUUUCCCAGAAAAAGGAACCCAACUAACUUACUUUUGAAACAAACGAGGUAUUUGUUCACUCGAACGCAGGGGUUGUGUUCGUUGAGUAAAGUUCCCCGUUCUCCUGAAAAAAGAACCCAACUACUUACUUUUUGAAACAAAUGGGGUAUUUGUUCACGUGAACGCGAGGUUGCGUUCAUUAAGUAAAGUUGCCCGUUCCCUGGAAAAAUUGGCCUAACUAACAUUUUUUUCCUUUAAACAAGCGGGGUACUUUUUCAUGCAAAAGCAGGGGUUGCGUUCCUUGAGUAAAGUUGUCUGUUCCCCGAAAAAAUGGGUCCAACGAACUUUCUUUUUCAAACGAACGGGGUACUUUUUCAUGCGAACGCAGGGGUUGCAUUCGUUGAGUAAAGUUGCCGCGUUUGUUGAGUAAAGUUGUCCAUUCCCAGAAAAAAUGGGCCUAACUAACUUUCUUUUUAAAACAAAUGGAGUACUUUUCACGCGAACGCAGGGGUUGCGUUCGUUGAGUAAAGUUGCCUGUUCCUAGGAAACAUGGGCCCAAUUAACUUACUUUUUCAAACAAACAGUCUAUUUGUUCACGCGAACGAAGGGGGUGUGUUCAUUCAGUAAAGUUGGACGUAUUCCCGGAGAAGGGACCCACUGCCAAGUGCCAACUACGAUCUAAAUUCCAAGGACUAUAAAAAUAGUAAAGUUGAAUUACUUCCUACAGUACACAUUCCUUUCAACGCACUAAAUUCCAGCUCUUUAAGAAGUAACAUUACUCAUACUUACACUUUACCUCUUCCACGCAAUCUGAAAUAGGAAAAACAAAACCUAAACAAUAUGUCACAUUCAAUGGUUGGUAGCUCAAGAGACUCUUCAACACCCAAGAACAAGAGGGUGGGUGAUGAUGAUGUUGAUCCUUCAAAUUAUGUGCGCCAACAAGUGAAACGAACCUAUGAUGUCAUUAAGCCUCCCACCGAGGCUAGUAACAACAUCUUUCAUGAAGGAGAUUCAGUGACCAAGUACAACGUUUACAAUGACGGGAUUGAGAUCGGCUUUGAGAUGUUUAGGAAAUAUGCUCAGCUUGUUGAUGCUGGGUCAACUAUGUGGGACAAUAUUGAGGUGUAUAAAGCAGUUGAUAUAUUGGAGAAGCGAGCUCCGUGAACCACCGGUAUUUUAACAUUUGCAUUGUGUUUUUUGUCAUAAUUUCGGAUGUAAUUUCAGAUGUUAUAAUUUCGGCCCUAAUAUCGGAUGUUAUAAGUUAUUGUAUUUUCAUUCGGUAUGUUGGAUUAGUUGUAGGGUUUAGUUUUGUAAUUUCAAACCCCUAAAUAUGGUUAGGGGUCCUUUAUUAUGAAUGACCUAGAAACUCCUGUUUCGUAAAUGAUGUGUGGGCCUUGGAAAUGCUAUAAUGUUUCCAUUGCAGCAACAAAAAGCGCAUGUGCGCAAUCAAUGGAAUUUGUCAUAGAACGUGCAAUUCACCGUCAUGUCAUGCAAUUGUACAUCAUAUAUUGCAAAACAACGUCCCCGUACGCAAAAAGGGAAAAGUACAUGCAAUUGGACUACCUAAACCAUAAACCCUAUGUGCAUGCAGUUACACUAAUUCCUACAUACAGUAAUUCCCUUUCAAUGUUUGGGCCUUUGAAAGGGUCAAAUUUUUCGAUGUCAUCAAAAAAACAAAAAAACCAUUUGUAAGCAAAUAAAGGAAUUCAACUACAUGAUGUGUAAUUGACCUAAUGUAAUGCAAUUCCACUUGCUAUACUACAAAAAGAACCCCGACUGUGGCAAAUAAGGAUACGUACAUGCAAAUUACACCUAAUUCCUAAACUGUAAUCCCUUGUGCCCUAUUGUCAAACUUUCUACUUUGUUUGGGGUGUGUCAUUGGCUUCUUUGUGAUGGGAUGAUGAUGGAUGAACGGACCAUGUUGGGCCAAGAUGUUGAGUUCUUCAUCGACAACUCUUCGAGCGUUCUCGGUUAGUUCCUUUAGAGGCUUGUUUUUUGGGUUCUUCACCAACACUAGUGCAACACGAACCUGAUCACUUGCAUGUUGGAACUGCAAAUAAAAAACAACCCAUGAAACAAAUGAUGAACAAAAAUAUGUGACAUGGAAGACAAAACUAUAAAACGAUAUAUAUGCCGACUCACUUUGUUUGAACCGUGUGAUGUGCAUUCAAUGUCUUCUAGCCAAUUCAAAACGAAGAUACCACAGUCCCAUCCAUUUGGUUGUUUGCGGGCCUUGUCACUUCGUACAAUGAAUUUUGCAAACUCUUAUCCCUUUUCAAAAUCGGUGACAAUCUCAUCAAUGUAAAUGUGAUCAAGAGUUUUCAUCUACAAAAAAAAUCAAUCUUAGUGGGGAUGUGAGGAGAAUAAAAAUACAAACCAAAUUUAGGUCAAUUAAACUUACAACUCGUUCCGCUAGUUUAUAACGAGAUGCGUUGAAUUUAGGAUUGGGGAGACUAUGCCAUAUUUCAACCUUUUGAUCACCAGUAAGCACCAAUAGCAAAAACCAAUGUCUCCCAAUUCGAUCCAAAGCGGGCAUGAAAAUCUAGGAGCACAAUAACUUGCUUAGAAAGACAUGCGUAUAAAAAACCUAGCUAAAGAUGUUGCCAAAAACAACUGAAAUUGAUACCUUAUCGUACUUCUUAAGGCCUACGGUGAACCGCUUUGAGUUUCCCCUUCUCAGUUUGACACCUAGUUGAAAAACUUUAUCAUCAUUUGUAUCAUUAACUUGAUCCUACAUUGACAUAUAGUUAAAGCUUAAAUUCAUUUACUAAAUAAUAACCUAUAACUGACAGGACCCGACACAAUUUCCGCUUUGGAAUUCGAGCCAAGUCCUGUGCGUGUCCGACACCUGACGAAUGUCGGGCACAAAAGACCCUUUUUACCCUUUUCGUUUCAAAUUCUUUGAAAAUUCCCCUUAGACUUCUGCCGAAAAUUCGGCAGAGUCUCCCCUAUAUUUUGACCAAACCCAAAGUCUUCCACCUGUCAAACAAGCCCAAAAACCAUACCAACGGCCAGAAUAUCUCCAAUCACAAAACUCAACUCCAGUUUUUCAGUUCCAACUAGAUAUCAGAGCAUUUCUACACAUUUAUAGAACUUUAAGAAAUUUACAAUGAAAUCCUACACUUGGGUGGUGGGGCGGAAGCUGUGAAGAUGGCCCGAGUGGUUUCCUUCGUACUUCUACGGCCUGGGGGGGAAAAACAAGUUUAAAAUUGUGAGUGGACAAAAAUAAAGUUCUUUAAAAAAAAAACAAGUUAGAACAUAAUAACCCCCGUUUUGAAAUACUAGGGAUAUAAAUCGUUAAUUUAGCUAUAUUUCAAUAUAAGGAAUUCAAUAAACAUGAAUAAAUAUACUGACGAAUAGACUUGCAUAACUGAUCAAAUAUAUAUAAAGAUAAGAACGCAUGAAUAUCAAAGAAACUAGUAUAAAAUCACGGGAAAUCAUAACUGGAUAAAAGAGCUCAAAAUCCUUUGAAACUACCACCUAGUUGUACCCCUGUCAUAUCCGUCAAUUCCCCUGGCAGGUCUCGGGCGUCACGCAGUCUACCCGAGCCGCAAACUGGCGAAAUCAAGGGACUAUGAUCAGCCUGAUCCGCCGGCAGGUCUCGAUGACACCAAGUCGACUCGAGCCGCUCUGGCAGGAUGCAGGGGACCGCAGUCAGCCUGAUCCGCAAUCCUGGCAGGUCUCGGGGACACAGAGUCAGCCGAGCCGCAAAUCCUGGCAGAUCUCAGGACACCAAGUCUGCCGAGCCGCAAAUCCUGGCAGGUCUCGGGACACCAAGUCUGCCGAGCCGCAAAUCCUGGCACUCACGGUCCGAGCGUCCCCGAAACUUGUGAGGCAAAGUCAAGUGCACUGACGUAACUGAAAUCAGACUGGAUGUCCGUAGACAUCGGUCCGACUGUGGGUAAUCACCAUAAAUAGAUGGGUACAUGGUGGUUUAACUAGAAAUUCUGAUAACUCUCUGAAAUCUGAUAAGUCUGAACUAAAUUACUAUCUUUGUAUCAAAAGUCUCAAGUUUACUGCUCAACCAAUAUUAUAAAAAUAAAGAUAUUUCACAAUGCAAAUCAUGCUUCGAAAUUACGUAAUAACACUUAUUCAAGAUCAAAUAUAAAAUAUAAUUAUAAAAUCUUUUUCGGAAAGAAAAGUCCACUCACUGUUGGUCCGAGCUAGCUGGACCCUUCGAAGGUCCCUCCUGUGGGUCAACUGGACCUCUGGUGCCUGAUUAAUCAUGAAUAGUAAAUUAAUAAACUGCUGAAUAAAAAGAAUUUAAAUUAAACACCCUGCCCCCGGCUCUUAGAAGUGCGUGCACUUAUUUCAAGUUACUCCUAUGCCCACCUUAGCUUUUCAGACACUUAGAGCGGUCUUGGAAGACCCGAAGUUAGACUACAUGGUAAACCGUCAGACGGGUCAAUCCGGGACCCCGUGGGGUCCACGAUCCCCGAUGGCCAAACUGGGAUUCUCUAAAGGUUCCUCACAGAGAAAGAACCAUGUUCCGCGAAUUUGGUCCGAAACGGACAGUCGGAUUAGCCAAAAUCGCGUUAUCGCUUAAAAUCCAAACCCUAGCCCUAGGGUUCGCAAUUUCAGAGUAUCCGGGACUCCGAUUCGCAAUCCGUCGAAUCCUACACGAUCCUGGAAUCAUGUAGUACGACAUAUCCAAAAUUGAGUGCGAUCCAAUGACUCGAAGACACUGCACCCAAGGAUCGCGCAAUAUGAAAAUUCCGUUCGGGGCUCAAACGGACUCCGAAUCGAGAUCCGCGAAAUCCUACGCGCUUGUGACAGCACGAGGAUCGCAAAACUACACAGAGUCUCUUUACCACCCUCACCCACGAGCCGCCACACGCGCGGGCAGAUUGGGUGUCCAAAGCGAUACCGGGUUGUUGGAAAAACUCGGAAACAAGACUCCAAACUCCUAUCCUAUGUAUAACACCACAUUUGGAGCCACUUUUGUUCUUGGACAUACCCCAAAAAGUGGCCGGAAAUGGCUGAUCACGGGGGCCGAAACUCGGCAGAAUUUCAAUUCACAAACUGGGCAAUCUACGGCUAAAAUUGAAGAAAACCUAUCCAACCACCAGCUAGAGCACGAAAAAUAGGUGAGAAUCCAUACCUUACUCGAAAGAUUUGGGGGAGAAUUGAAGGAGAACGAAGGAGAUGAAGUUUGGAUGAAAAACCGGCGGAAAUCACCAGUUUUCAGCCAAUUCAGGGCGGUCCAAGGCCGGCGACGGGUCGAGGAAGGGAGGCGGCGGCGAGGCGGACCGAUUGGCACCAACGGCGGAGGUCGCCGUGCUCUGUAGCGGCGGCACGCUCGAUCUGAAACAGGGAGGGGGCGGCGGUCGCGACGGGAGUGAGAGAGAGAGAGGAGAGAGAAA
rnacentral:lncRNA from 1 species